rnacentral:lncRNA from 1 species
AUAAUAAUAAUAAUAAUAAAAUAAUGUAAGGAAGUAAAGUACAUAAGCAACAAUCCCACACUAGUGAGAGACACAGUACACUGAUAGGAAAUACAUACUAAUAAGAAAUACAUGAGCAGCAUUAUUCAAUUAUAGUGAGUGAGCCAGUACAUACUGGUAAGAGCCUGCCAACAUUUUAACUAUUUGCUUUACUUAAAGUUCAUAAAUUCAUCAACGCUAUAGGGCUCAACAUCUAUGAGGAAUUUCUGGAGGGCUCUCUUAAACCUACUGGGGUCGGAACAAUUUUUGAUAUAGCAGGGGAGAUUAUUAUAGUAAAGACUUCCAGAAUGUAGUGGAUUAUUUUUUGCGAAGUCACCUCUAUAGAAAUUUAGAUGAAUGUCAUGUUUCCUUCGGGUGUUAUGACUAUGGACAUUACAAUUGAGCAGUACAUUGCUCUUGUUUGAGAAGAGGUACAUAACACAUUGAAAAAUGUAGAUAGCGAAUAAAGUCAGGACGUUAAGUCGCCGGAAUUGACCCCUGCAUGACUGAUCAAAGGGGAUGUGAGCCAAGAUUCGAAUGGAUUUUUUUUUGUAGACAAAAGAUUUUUUUGAGUUCAGUUAUGGGAGCAUUUCCCCAGAUGGAUGUACCAUAAUUAAGAUGGGAGUAUACUAGAGCAAAGUAGGUUUUAUAUAGGAUUUUAUUAUCAACGCAUUGGGCAAGCUGUUUCAUUUGAAAGAUGCCUGUUCGGAUCUUUUUGGCAGUUUCAGUAAUGUGGGUUUUCCAGUUAAGAGUUUUGUCUACAUGUAUGCCAAGGAAUUUAGUGGUUUGAUUUUCUGUGAUGCUGAUAUUAUUAAUGUUUAGAGUUUUAUCAUCGGACUGGGUGGAGUUUUUUAGGGAAAAGAACAGGAUGUUGGUUUUUUGUAUGUUAACAACGAGAUUUAAGCUGGCUAGGUAGUUGAUAAUGAGUUCAGUGAGAUGCUCGGUGGAUAAUAAUAAUAUCUUUAUUCAUCUUAAUGAGAUGUGGUCACAGACAGAAACAAUUUACACAAUUUAUACAGGAUCACUAGCAAGGAACUCUUUAAUGGAGUACAAUUCUUUGUCUAUCAGGUAUUUUUUUUAUCAUUUUUACUAGUUCUUUACCCAUUUUGCUUAUUGGCUUCGCCCAACGAAAAGAAAAGAAAUUAAAUAAAAUAAAAUGGCGGAGCCAUAAGGAGUCAGAGCCACGGUCACUGGAAAUUGUAUCUCACACAGAUUUAAGUCAAAUGCAUGCUCAAAGGGCUUCCUUACUAGAAAUUGUGCAGAGAAGCACACAAAGUAAAAAGCAACGCGAAGCAUUUCAGAGAGUCAGCGAAGCAGUUGCAGUUGGAGGUGAAGUAGAGGGAUGCAAGCAGCAUGAACACAGCAGAUCACUCCAGAACAGACACCGUCAGCACCAGCAGCUGAAACAAUUGCCCAGACGUUUCAUGUGGUGUGUUGGUGGUCAAGUGCUCAACAAUGAAAUUGAAGGAAAAUUGGGUUGUAUUGUGCGUCAACAUUCCCUAUGAAGUGCAUUGAACAAGCAACUAUAAUCGAGGGCAUUAUGGAAACAUCUCACAGAACUUUCCUGUGGCAGAAACAUGAUGAAGUGUUGCUGCACCAUAUAAUUCCAAAAUUUAAAUCUGAAGUGGAAAGUGAGUGAAUCCGACCAGCAUGGCUCCUCAAAUUCGUUCAAUGUAGUUUGUGGAAAAGAGUUCAGUCUUUAAAGAGCUUGUCCUCAUAUGGGAAGGAGGCAAACAUUUUUGAGCUUUCAUCAAAAUGUUUAAGGCAGGACCUAUCUUUCAAGAUAACUUUACCCAGGAGAGCUCAUAUUCCGACCACAUUGUGAAAUAGGCAGUGAAGUGGGAACGGAUGUAGCCAUGCAGUGCUGAGAAGUCACAUUCUCUUUAUUAGAACCACUUGAGCAUCUUCUAGUAUAAAGAUUUAAGUCAAAUGCAUGCUCAAAGGGCUUGCCUUACUAGAAAUUGUGCAGAAAAGCACACAAAGUAAAAAGCAACGCAAAGCAUUUCAGAGAGUCAGCGAAGCAGUUGCAGUUGGAGGUGAAGUAGAGGGAUGCAAGCAGCAUGAACACAGCAGAUCACUCCAGAACAGACACCGUCAGCACCAGCAGCUGAAACAAUUGCCCAGGUGUCUUAUGCUGAUGUGUUGGCGGUCAAGUGCUCAACAAUGAAAUUGAAGGAAAGUUGGGUUGUAUCGUGCGUCAACAUUCCUUAUGAAGUGCAUUGAACAAGCAUCUACAGCAUCAGCGGCAGAAGCAUGUGCUUUAUACCAUCAGCAGAAAGAAACAUUUGCAGCAAGCAUGAUAGGCAGCCCACCGGACAGGCGUGUGUUGCGGGAAUGCCUACCUCCUGCUUUGAAGGGGCUUUACUCCACUUCCCACCCAACCGCCAAGCAUUUCCUGAAGAAUGCAGUCUUUUUUCUUCUGUGAACUACAGUGAAAUUUUGCCCCAAAUCGUGGCUAGUGUUUUCUCUACCAUAGUUAAUAUUCUCUGUUAAGUGCAGUUUAUAUUCCUUGUAAUUACAAACAAAAUUUCUACUAACUGUAGUAAAAUUUGUCUACAGACCACAGACAAGAUUUUCUGUACGUCACAGAGUAACUAUUCUGUGCCCUGCCAAGAAAACCUGACAAACUUUUCUGCGAUUAUGAACUAAAUUUUCUGUAAAUGUGAACAAUGUAUUCUGUUAAUUUGUACAUAUUUUUGUAUUGACAUUAAUGAAAUGUCUAUAUUGCA